ensembl:snRNA U1 U1 spliceosomal RNA
AUACUUACCUGGCAGGGGAAAUACCACGCUCAGGAAGGUGGUUUUCUCAGGGUGAGGCCUAUUCAUUGCACUGAGAAUGCGCUGACUCCUGCGAUUUCUCCGAAUGGGGAAACUCGACUGCACAAUUUGUGGUAGUGGGGGACUGCGUGCGCGCUUUCCCCUG